rnacentral:rRNA from 1 species
GAUGAACGCUGGCGGCGUGCCUAAUACAUGCAAGUCGAGCGAACGGACGAGAAGCUUGCUUCUCUGAUGUUAGCGGCGGACGGGUGAGUAACACGUGGAUAACCUACCUAUAAGACUGGGAUAACUUCGGGAAACCGGAGCUAAUACCGGAUAAUAUUUUGAACCGCAUGGUUCAAAAGUGAAAGACGGUCUUGCUGUCACUUAUAGAUGGAUCCGCGCUGCAUUAGCUAGUUGGUAAGGUAACGGCUUACCAAGGCAACGAUGCAUAGCCGACCUGAGAGGGUGAUCGGCCACACUGGAACUGAGACACGGUCCAGACUCCUACGGGAGGCAGCAGUAGGGAAUCUUCCGCAAUGGGCGAAAGCCUGACGGAGCAACGCCGCGUGAGUGAUGAAGGUCUUCGGAUCGUAAAACUCUGUUAUUAGGGAAGAACAUAUGUGUAAGUAACUGUGCACAUCUUGACGGUACCUAAUCAGAAAGCCACGGCUAACUACGUGCCAGCAGCCGCGGUAAUACGUAGGUGGCAAGCGUUAUCCGGAAUUAUUGGGCGUAAAGCGCGCGUAGGCGGUUUUUUAAGUCUGAUGUGAAAGCCCACGGCUCAACCGUGGAGGGUCAUUGGAAACUGGAAAACUUGAGUGCAGAAGAGGAAAGUGGAAUUCCAUGUGUAGCGGUGAAAUGCGCAGAGAUAUGGAGGAACACCAGUGGCGAAGGCGACUUUCUGGUCUGUAACUGACGCUGAUGUGCGAAAGCGUGGGGAUCAAACAGGAUUAGAUACCCUGGUAGUCCACGCCGUAAACGAUGAGUGCUAAGUGUUAGGGGGUUUCCGCCCCUUAGUGCUGCAGCUAACGCAUUAAGCACUCCGCCUGGGGAGUACGACCGCAAGGUUGAAACUCAAAGGAAUUGACGGGGACCCGCACAAGCGGUGGAGCAUGUGGUUUAAUUCGAAGCAACGCGAAGAACCUUACUAAAUCUUGACAUCCUUUGACAACUCUAGAGAUAGAGCUUUCCCCUUCGGGGGACAAAGUGACAGGUGGUGCAUGGUUGUCGUCGGCUCGUGUCGUGAGAUGUUGGGUUAAGUCCCGCAACGAGCGCAACCCUUAAGCUUAGUUGCCAUCAUUAAGUUGGGCACUCUAAGCUGACUGCCGGUGACAAACCGGAGGAAGGUGGGGAUGACGUCAAAUCAUCAUGCCCCUUAUGAUUUGGGCUACACACGUGCUACAAUGGACAAUACAAAGGGCAGCGAAACCGCGAGGUCAAGCAAAUCCCAUAAAGUUGUUCUCAGUUCGGAUUGUAGUCUGCAACUCGACUACAUGAAGCUGGAAUCGCUAGUAAUCGUAGAUCAGCAUGCUACGGUGAAUACGUUCCCGGGUCU